rnacentral:rRNA from 1 species
GGGAGCAAAACAGCUAUGGAUCAAGUCCGAUAUCUUUAGGAGAAGUCUUAUUGUGAGGGCGAGUUUUAUAACACCAUAGGACUGGCCGUCCCAUAUGAAAAGAUUAUAUUUAGAAUUGUAUGAAGCUUUUGUUUAUAUAUUGAUAAUGACAGUAUAUAUAUCGUGUCUUGACUAAUUGCGUGCCAGCAGUCCGCGGUAAUAUGUAAGAGACUAGUGUUAUUCAUCUUAAUUAGGUUUAAAGGGUACCCAGACGGUCAAUAUAGCUUAUAAAAUGUUAGUACUUGACUAGAGUUUUAUGUAAGAGGGCAGUACUUGAGGAGGAGAGAUGAAAUUUCGUGAUACCAAAGGGACUCUGUAAAGGCGAAGGCAGCCCUCUAUGUAAAAACUGACGUUGAAGGACGAAGGCACAGAGAACAAACAGGAUUAGAUACCCAAGUAGUCUUUGCAGUAAAUGAUGAAUGCCAUAGGUUAGAUGGGUGGGUAGUCUAGUUGAGUUAGUUUAGCAAACUAAUGAUCUAGACGAGCCCACC